rnacentral:rRNA from 1 species
AUUGAACGCUGGCGGCAGGCCUAACACAUGCAAGUCGAGCGGAGCGGCGGACGGGUGAGUAAUGCCUAGGAAUCUGCCUGGUAGUGGGGGAUAACGUCCGGAAACGGGCGCUAAUACCGCAUACUAUCAGAUGAGCCUAGGUCGGAUUAGCUAGUUGGUGGGGUAAAGGCCUACCAAGGCGACGAUCCGUAACUGGUCUGAGAGGAUGAUCAGUCACACGGGAAAUGGGACACGGUCCAGGCGCCGACGGGAGGGAGCAUUGGGGAACAUUGGACAAUGGGGCAAAGCCGUAUCCAGCCAUGCCGCGUGGUUGAAGAAGGUCUUCGGAUUGUAAAGCACUUUAAGUUGGGAGGCGUUACCAACAGAAUAAGCACCGGCUAACUACGUGCCAGCAGCCGCGGUAAUUC